UAUGUUGAGAUGGUGCGUUGGAGCUACAGACAUGUCAGAAGAUAGCUGGGGAGCCCUUGAUUCCUGACUCUGACCAUGUCAUGGUGCGGUGGGAGAUUCCCAAUCUGUCGGUGUGUGCUUCCGUGAUAACUGGGAGAUGCAGUGGGGAUCCAGCUGAUGUUACCUCAUGGCCUUCUUCAGUGAUGCCAAUGCUGCUGCCACUCCAUUUGAGCUAUCUCAAUUGAGACCAUGGGAGUUCCUGCAAAUGCUGAUAGUUCUGCUAACUUCAGGAAAUCUGUGAAGAAUGCUUUAGUUGAGACAGAGAAGUGGUUGGAGUUGGAGAUUCUCUUCUGCUGUUUACCUGCUUCGAACAAUAAGUUGCUGGAGGGGUUGGUAAGCAUGCAGUCACUAAUCAUUCCCUGGCCAAAUUCCAUGAGCAUCUGCUUGAUGCUGCCUGAGAUGUUUCAGGUGUUGAUAGGCUUGAGCUUGUGGUGCUUAGUUGCUGGGAUUGAACUUUUUAAUGUGCAAUGCAAUUCCCGACUGAACUAAUUGGAUGGUUCGACCAUGGACAGGCUUGAAGUGGAAUGUGAGGUCAGGAUAAGUAAGGGAUUAGAGAUGCUAGAGAUUCCGGACAGAGGAGGAAAGAGAGGAGCAUUGUGGAACUCAUCACUGAUAAAAUUUCUGAAAUAGCGGAGCCCUUGUUAUCGGAGAGACCAGGCCAUCAUCAACAUCAUAGUCCCAACAGAGAAGCAAGAAAGGUGACAGGAGCUCUGAGUUCAUGUUCAGUGUAGUUGGGUUCAAGAGGAGAAAGCUCUCAAGUUUAUAGACCAGAUCCCUCAUCAUGGUCAUUCCAUAAGUGAACAAGGAAGGGUGAGAAAAGCAGAGUUUUCAAUGGAUGAUGGUGUUUUGGCUGAACAGGAGACAAGGUCUGGUGGGUGAAGUUGCAAGAGAAACUAGCAUCUCUCACUUCCCUAUACGUAAGUUAGGAGGUAGGCUUCUUUAUCAUCCACUCGUUGGUCCCUGCAAAAUUAGGGCACAUUUAUCAGGUUUCAGAUAAGGAAAAGAUGAUAGGUGUAGUAGUGUAUGUAUCUGGUGGUGAUCAGGGUUCCAAUAACGGGAUCUUAUCAUUGUUCCUGUCGGCAGCUAAUGCAGAUUAGGCCUUCUUUGACAUGUUUAGAACUCUGUUUCCUCGAGGUUCUGACUUCUUUGUUGAAUUCCUCUAUGGAGGACUACAUGAAUUAUAUAGUUCAGUAAAGGUGAAAACUGCAGGAAAGAGGAUUAAUAUAUGAAUGGCAUUAUGAUGAGACUUUGCACUAAAAAAGUUCAAAAGAGAAUGGCAAAGCUGAUAGUAGUGUAAAUGGCACAAAGGAGAGAGAAAUGAGCUAGGGUAGUGGUGUCAGUGUUAAAAACAAGGUUGAUUCAUGUCCUGAGCUCAGAAAUAAUGCCAAAGAAAGGUGACUUGAGUAGGAGAACAGACAAGGACAAAGAUCCAGCCAAUGUGGACAUUCAACCUACUACCAUUAGUGGAUUCGGUGAUCAUUCUGAAUUGAACAUAUUCGGCAGAAAAAGGAAGUAGGGUACGUGUGAAGGUACUGCUGAAUCUGUUUCAGAGGUGGAACACAAACCUACAAGUGCUUCUUAAGUAUCUGGAUCAAAGCAGAAGAGUAAGCAGAAAGAGGAAACUAACCACCAUUCUGCAUCUCUGCUACUGAAGUUUGCACCUGAAACUGCUUUGCCAUCCAAGAUUUGGCUUAUGCUGAGCCUUGGUUGAAUGUGAUACACAAAUGUUCUAAGGUUCAGAUUACGCUUGUGCUUUGUUUGAGAAAGGCAUGGACACAUAGAAGGCCUUGAAAAGAUUAGAUAACGUUGGGCCUUUGGCAUCUCAGUAACUAAUCAUGAGCUUUAUUAUAUGCCUGGAAAUGUAAGUUCUCAAAUACAGACAUCAAGUGUUCUAUGCUUGAGAGGGUGAUUUCCUAGCUUACUGGGUCCCAUCCCAAACCUAAAGGACAAUCAAGUGGAUGAAAUGAACAACCUAUUGGAAAAGGAUUCAAGAAUCGGCAGCAACUCAGACGAGAAGAAUGUGGUCCGAUCACAGGGUUCUCUGCACUAUAAUCCUACUCGAGGCAUUUCUUUCUUGCUGAGGAACAUCAAGGGCUCAACUCUUUCUUCCCAGCUACUCCAUGGUGGUAAAACACAUGCAUCACAUCUCUUCUUUGCUCAGAACCAGUUUGCUGGUAUACAUUCCUCAGAUAUCUCAAGGAUUCACUUCAGAGUCCGCCAAGCUCUAGACUCCGUUGCUGCUCUGCGUCUGCGUCUGCGUCACGCUCUGCUGUUCAUCGUGUUCGUGUUCUGUGGAAUGAUCAUAGUCGAUGCUGAAGGUAUUGCUCCCGAACGCUAUCUUUUGCAGCUUUUCGAUGUCAGCCGAGUACUUCCCAGAGUCAUACACAGUGCUCUGUCCAAAUUUGACACCAUUGGAUAGGUCAGAACAACCCGUGGAGUACCUGCACCAUUCUUGGUCGCUUGGGAGCAGAAUGACGAACACAAGCAGCAGCAGCUUCAAUCAUCUGUAACAUGUCACUCUUGGCGAAAUUGUUUUCGAGCUUGGGGUCUACCAGUUCUUCGUAUUCACCUGUUUCGAGAGCAUGAACCAAUAGCGGUCGAGCCUGCAGAAGCGAAGUUACAGAGUUUGAUGUAAGGAGCAAUGGAGCAUGGAAAUCUACUAUAUGAAGUUGACAUCAAGAUCAUACACAUUCUUUAGCUUCAUAAUGAUCAACAAUCAUGUAGAUUAAUUGAGCGUACCCAUUCGACUAAACUCUCAUCCCCUAAAGGCUGAGAUGGAUCCACAGGCUUUCUCCCA